rnacentral:rRNA from 1 species
UACGGAGGGGGCUAGCGUUGUUCGGAAUUACUGGGCGUAAAGCGCGCGUAGGCGGCUUUGUAAGUUAGAGGUGAAAGCCCGGAGCUUAACUCCGGAACUGCCUUUAAGACUGCAUCGCUAGAAUCGUGGAGAGGUGAGUGGAAUUCCGAGUGUAGAGGUGAAAUUCGUAGAUAUUCGGAAGAACACCAGUGGCGAAGGCGGAUCUCUGGGCCUUACCUGACGCGUCAGGUGCGAAAGCUAGGGGAGCGAACAGG